UUCUGUUCUGUCUCCGACCCGCUGACAAUAGGGGGCAGCAGCCAGCCGUCCUCAGCGCCUCAGCGUCUCGACGUCUUGUAUGCUCCUGGAGUCCCCGUGGCAACACUGGUCCUGUUUCUGAGGGCGUUACUGUGUCGUUUCCAUGUUGAAGUGAUGCUAACCCUCCCGUGAGCUUCCUCACCUUGUACAGAGCCGACAGUGGAAAGUUGACUACGAAGGGGAUAGAAGAAAUGCAGGU